GUGGCUCAGUUGCACAGGAUACGUGCUACCAUGGUGCUCAAUUCAACACUGACAGCAUCGGAAGUUUAGUGUUUGAGUAAAUGAAGCUGAUGCCAUUAGCUGGUCUAUUGGUGGGACUUAAACCUAGUCUUUAGUCCAAGACUACAUCUGUACCCAAGAGGACGUACAACUCAGUGACUCAAAUAUAAACAGGCAGAACCAGGGAGAACGCUGUGGAACUCUCAGUUAAAAGCCAUGAUCAUAAUUCACUAAUUUAAUAUUGAAAAUGAUGUUAAAGGGUCAUAUAUACAAAGACGCUCAUUUUGUAUAAUACCUGUCUGACAAAAAGAGACUUGAGUCAAUUUUUAUUUAACGAAGCACUAGUCAGGGCUUUUGCAGAGUAAAAGGGACAUUGUGUCUAAUGUUUAACCUCUACUCCAUGCAUUACUGCCCUGUGGAGGUCUGUUUUCACAAAAAGUAUGAAUAUAAAUUCUAAAGCACUCUUAAUUCCAGAAUUUACCUGAAUUGUCAUUUGUCAUUUAAGUCCUAUAGGCUUUUUUUGCCAUGCUAGAUGAUGUAGCUCAUGAAACCCCUUAAAUAGAUUUACUCUUUUAGGUUGUAGGAAUUUACUGAAUCACACUUGAUAUGGAAAAAAAGUAAAAAAAAGAACAACUGUGGACUACUUUUGCUUCAAACGCCACAAUAAUCAACUUGCAUGCAUUUGUUUGUUUUUUUCAGUGUUCUGUAAAUAUGGUAUUUAUUGAACCUGCUUUGUUUAGUAGCAAAUAUCCUUAUUGUUGAUGCCUUUUGAUUAUGUUUUUUUUUUGCUAUUUGAAUGGUUAGCACUGUUUCUGAUUUGUCAACUGACACCAAAAUAAGGGCUGAAUCCAUGUCUUAUGCCUGGAUUUGAUCAGUUUACAUAUGUAGCUUCAAUAUUUACAGGUUAAAUAUUUGCACAGUGCUUCUAAAGAGAGAACACAACCUGCAAACGUCCAAUUAAAAUGCUUCAGAUGCCAAA